UACGAGGGGAGCUAGCGUUAUUCGGAAUUACUGGGCGUAAAGCGCACGUAGGCGGCUUUGUAAGUAAGGGGUGAAAGCCUGGUGCUCAACACCAGAACUGCCCUUUAGACUGCAUCGCUUGAAUCCAGGAGAGGUGAGUGGAAUUCCGAGUGUAGAGGUGAAAUUCGUAGAUAUUCGGAAGAACACCAGUGGCGAAGGCGGCUCACUGGACUGGUAUUGACGCUGAGGUGCGAAAGCGUGGGGAGCAAACAGG
rnacentral:rRNA from 1 species